rnacentral:lncRNA from 10 species
CAAGAAUCUAUGCAGUUGCUGACAUUCUUGUUGCAUGUGGAUGAAUACACAGACAUUGCAGAGACUUGGUUGCAGGGGAUUAAUGAACAGGCUGCUCAGUUAAAAUUAGUAGUCUCCUCAUUUGGCUCUUUCUUUGAUCUACUUGAUUUCACUUGGUUUGGUUCAUGGGGACCCUGGCUAAGGACCAUACUCCAAACUCUUGGACCUCCUGAUGGUCACGAUAGUAGUUUCCCCAGUGUGCUGUAUUUUCUUGAAAGUUGUAAAUAUUUGCCCACAGCUAUCUAUAAAAUGUCAAAUUGUUUCUCUUAGACUGGAAUGACAAAAACUCAAAGAAAUGCAUAACCACAAGGGCACCAUAACCUAUGAAUGACAUGCUGAGACUGGAAACCCAAAAUGAUGGUAACAAAGUGGUGGUAAUGCCUUACAUUUUUGUCACAUUCUCACCCAGAACAAUUUCUCCACCUGGAGUAGUGAAGUUGGAGCACAGUAUGAGGUGUUUUUAGCCACAAGAGGGCAAAAGUCUUGGACAUGAAAUUUUUGAAAUGGGUACAAGCUGGAACCUGCACCUGUGCCGCCUAUAACCUAAGACUAAGUGAAAACUUACACCGAAGCCAAUGACAACAUGAAUGAGAGCUUACCAUAACUGGCACAUAUCUUCACAUAAGCAUCAUAUAAAGAGCAGCAGAUGUUAGUGACAGAAGCUGCGUGCAAAAUAUGCAGAAGAAUAUCCUCAUUACUUCUAUUGCUUACAAGAUUUCAUCCAAGAUACUACAUUACAUUUAAUGUUCAUGUCUCCUGAUUCCUCUUGAUUUUCCUUGCUUUUAAUGACCUUGACAAGUUUUGAGGCAUACUGGUCUGGUAUACUGUAGGAUGCCCUCUGUUGGAAUUUGUAAAAUUUCAAUAUAAUUAGAAUAAAUUUCACAAAUCUAUUGAUUAUGUGAAAGUUGUCAGAAUCAAAAUGGAGUCACUUGCAUUAAAAUUCCUGACAAAGAGACCCAGGGAAGGUCUCGAAGGGAAGUUUCUCAAGCCCAAAUGCCUGGUAACAAGAACUAUCACAGAAGACUGCAGAAACCACAACCUUGCACAAAGGCCAUUGCAACUAUACACAAAGAAGUACCCCUGUGAGGACAUCUGCCCAGCAACUUCCUGUUCAACCUCAGACUAGUGCCACUCUUCUUACUGAUCCUGUAGCCAAGGAUAAUAGUGUCAUAACAAUUGUAUAAUCCUCAUUUUUCCUCUAAAAGCCUUUUUCUUCUGUUACUUCCCUGAAUACUCAUAUGGUUUACUAUGGGCUGCUUAUUGCCAUGGCAAUGCUUAUUCCCA